GGGAGGGCAGCGGCCACCGGCGAGGAACACGGCGCGAUGCAGGUUCAGUGCCAGCAGAGCCCAGUGCUGGCAGGCAGCGCCACUUUGGUCGCCCUUGGGGCACUGGCCUUGUACGUCGCGAAGCCCUCCGGCUACGGGAAGCACACGGAGAGCCUGAAGCCGGCGGCUACCCGCCUGCCAGCCCGCGCCGCCUGGUUCCUGCAGGAGCUGCCUUCCUUCGCGGUGCCCGCGGGGAUCCUCGCCCGGCAGCCCCUCUCCCUCUUCGGGCCACCUGGGACGGUACUUCUGGGCCUCUUCUGCCUACAUUACUUCCACAGGACAUUUGUGUACUCACUGCUCAAUCGAGGGAGGCCUUAUCCAGCUAUACUCAUUCUCAGAGGCACUGCCUUCUGCACUGGAAAUGGAGUCCUUCAAGGCUACUAUCUGAUUUACUGUGCUGAAUACCCUGAUGGGUGGUACACAGACAUACGGUUUAGCUUGGGUGUCUUCUUAUUUAUUUUGGGAAUGGGAAUAAACAUUCAUAGUGACUAUAUAUUGCGCCAGCUCAGGAAGCCUGGAGAAAUCAGCUACAGGAUUCCACAAGAAGCUCCAGAGAGCUACCAGAGCCCUCAGGAA
rnacentral:lncRNA from 1 species